GGGCCCGUAGCUCAGUUGGUAGAGCAGCUGACUUUUAAUCAGUUGGUCGUGGGUUCGACCCCCACCGGGCUCACCA
rnacentral:tRNA from 1 species